CCUACGGGUGGCAGCAGUGGGGAAUAUUGCACAAUGGGGGGAACCCUGAUGCAGCAAUGCCGCGUGGGUGAAGAAGCACUUCGGUGCGUAAAGCUCUGUCAGUAGGGAAGAAAAUGACAGUACCUGGACAAGAAGCCCCGGCUAAUUACGUGCCAGCAGCCGCGGUAAUACGGAGGGGGCAAGCGUUAUCCGGAUUUACUGGGUGUAAAGGGAGCGCAGGCGGGGUGGCAUGUCUGAUGUGAAAACCCGGGGCCCAACCCGGGGAGUGCAUUUGAAACUGGCAGGCUGGAGUGCCGGAGAGGUAAGCGGAAUUCCUGGUGUAGCGGUGAAAUGCGUAGAUAGUAGGAGGAACACCAGUGGCGGAGGCGGCUUACUGGACGGUAACUGACGCUGAGGCUCGAAAGCGUGGGGAGCAAACAGGAUUAGAUACCCUAGUAGUC
rnacentral:rRNA from 1 species